AGUCGAGUGCGCGUCCGUAGCAAUACGGAUGGCGCACGGCGCACGGGUGCGUAACACGUGGGCAAUCUGCCCUCGGAUGGGGGAUAACUCGCCGAAAGGCGAGCUAAUACCGCAUGACAUUCCGGAGACUCCGGUCUCUGGACUCAAAGGCCGCAAGGCCGUCUGAGGAGGAGCCCGCGCCCGAUUAGCUUGUUGGCGGGGUAACGGCCCACCAAGGCUUUGAUCGGUAGCCGGUCUGAGAGGAUGGCCGGCCACACUGGAACUGAGACACGGUCCAGACUCCUACGGGAGGCAGCAGUGGGGAAUAUUGCGCAAUGGGCGAAAGCCUGACGCAGCGACGCCGCGUGGGGGAUGAAGCUUCUCGGAGUGUAAACCCCUUUCGACCCGGACGAAUGACCCGCAAGGGUUUGACGGUACGGGUAUAAGAAGCCCCGGCUAACUACGUGCCAGCAGCCGCGGUAAUACGUAGGGGGCCAGCGUUGCUCGGAAUUACUGGGCGUAAAGGGUUCGUAGGUGGUGCGGCAAGUUGGGAGUGAAAUCUCUGGGCUUAACCCAGAGGCUGCUUUCAAAACUGCCGCGCUCGAGUGCGAGAGAGGCCAGUGGAAUUGCAGGUGUAGCGGUGAAAUGCGUAGAUAUCUGCAGGAACACCCGUGGCGAAGGCGGCUGGCUGGAUCGCAACUGACACUGAGGAACGAAAGCUAGGGGAGCAAACAGGAUUAGAUACCCUGGUAGUCCUAGCCCUAAACCAUCAGA
rnacentral:rRNA from 1 species